rnacentral:rRNA from 1 species
CGGAACGAGAGGCCGUGGCGCGCCGCGGCCUUAUCCGCACCGCGCCACACCUUGACGUCCCGCCACGCCGACCGCGCAAUGGGCCACCAAUGGCCACCACCGCCGCCGCCGCCGCUCUCUCCUGCUCCUGCUCCCCGUCCCCGUCCCCUUCCUCCACGCUCCUCCUCCGGCGAACCGUCUCCGCCUUCCACCGCCGACCUGCCCAUGCCGGCACCCGCCGCCCCCGCCUCGCCCCCUUGCACGUGGUGGACGACUCCAAGGAGGUGGAGACGAGGUCGGAGACGGACAGGCUGGUGGACGGCCUGAACUUCGGGGAGCUGUGCAACGACUUCGAGUGCAUAAGCAGCCCGUACGUGGAGUCCACGGCCAGGCAGAUCGCCAGGGACAUCCUCGAGAUCCGCCAGGACAACCGCGCCCUCAGCUGCUACGCCGUCGCCGUCAAGUACAAGGAUCCUCUCAGGUCAUUUGUUGGGCGUGAGAAGUACAAGAGGCCAUUGUGGAUCACCGAGGCCCUAGAAAAACCUAUAGUGACAGUCCAGGAAAUGUCAAUGCAAUCCACAAGCAGUCUGACCAUCAAGUGGACACUGAGGGGGAAACCCAAGAACGCCUUCUUCGCGGCCGCGGGAGGGGAGCUGGUCGUCCGUGUCGACUCGCAGUUCAUCCUAAACCAGAUCAGCGGGCAGGUGCUGGAGCACUUUGAGUCGUGGGACCUCUCUGCGUCGUCCCCUCUCGCCCAGGCCUACUUCUGGUUUUCCAGGAGGGUUUACUCCACCGUGGAGGCCGGCAAGGACACGAUCGAGGCCGCCAAGGGCUUGGCGUCCCGGCUGAACAAGGACGAUAAUAUUGAGGUCUAUCCCGACCCUCUGGGAGAUCCGACGAAGUUCUUUACGAGGCCUGAUGAUCUGAACCAGGACGUGGUUCAGAUUGGGCUCUUCCUGGCCGUUCUCUACUUCAUUGUACAGUUCCUGAAAACGACUCUGUGAUGAUGACUGUAUUAGCUACGACCCGUAUCUGAAGAACACUUGGAAUGUCAUGGUGAACUCGAUCUCCAGAAUGAGGUUGUGUGUAUAUACAUACCAUGUAUCGAUGUCUAACAUACUCAUAUCACAGGCAUUCAUGCCCACGCAGGCAUGAGUUUUGAGACUAGUCACUUUAUGGUCAGUGGGUGCACGUGUAUAUGUCUGGCAUUGAUCCCUUGGUUUCGUCGCUCGUCGGCUGUAGAAUAGCGAGCAGCAGUUGAUCAGGAUCCAAGGUGGUCUUGGUGAUUUCAGUGGCCAGGGUCGGGCACCGGAG